rnacentral:lncRNA from 1 species
UGGUCUAUCCUUCACUCGGUUCUUGACAUUGUUUGCGUUUUCUAAAGUAAGUCUGGCACACGAGGUGCCCUCAUGGGUGUAGAUUUAUCCAUUGGCUACCCAUUGGAACAUCACUUGCAGGACUCUCUAUUUAAAUGCAAAAUUGAUGUACUACUUUUUUCUUAAUUGUAUUUAGUAAGGAUUACUUUAUCCAUACAUUGUUGGCAUACAAAUGAUGCUUAGUCUUGUGGAAGACUUCCUGCAUUAGGAGACACUUUCCCCAGAUCCAAUUCGUCGAUGGAGUUAGAUCAAUUCCGUACAACAGAGUCUUAGGUAAUUUAUGUUCUAACCAUGUUAUUAUUAUUGCAAAACCAAAUAGGGAUGCUUAAUCUGAGCUAUUUCUCACCCCAUUUCCUCUAGGUCUCUGCAAAUUAUUGUUUGUCUUUUGAGGUGAAUGCAACUGCUGGUCAUGCUUUAACCACAUGUCAAUUGCAGGAGUGCGACAACGCCAUCCUAUUCCACAAACCAUCUGAAGAAUGAUGGGUGCUGUAAUCCCAUGCUUGCUAGAGUGCUAGAUGGAUUUAAUAAACUCUUUCGUGCUCAUCUUUUGGCCUGAAACACUAAAAACUAAACUGCCCUAGUAGUGAGCAAUGAUUAAUAAAAUGGAGUUCAUUUGAUCCAUCUGAUAAAAAUAACUAUGGGCGAAUAAGAAUGAAAAGUAAUCACAUGUUGUUUCUGCAGUGGAAUUCAGGUAUACCCUCUCCUCUAUUUAUUUGACUCUUGUUAGAUUGGUUCAUCUUGGUCUGACGUGUUAAUGGAGUUAUUUCAUUCCUCACAUGAUCCCUUUCAAUUGGAUCAGUUAUCCUUAUUUGGUUACUCUAUAUUCCCUACAUAUAUCUUUAUUAUGUUCAUCGAGACUUUAGAGUAAGACAUUUAUUUUGCUCAUAUUACCUUCAAGGUAACAUGGUACCUACAACGCAGGGGGACUCAUGGCAAUCAGUUCUAAUUUAUAAAUCCAAUUAAGUGUAAGCUUCUCUGUUGUCUGUACUGCAGUCGUGAUGAUCAGAAGUUCAGGACCCCACUGUAGGUAGGAAAAAAAGAUUAAUCUUGGUAAGAUACAGUCUUCUGAUCACAAUCUUACUUUUUUUGUUAUUAGUGCUUCCAUUACUUUCUAUUUAAAUAUGCACAAUGGGAUAGGGAGUGGACCCUUUUAGUAAGUUAUAUGUAUAAUUGGAGAUUACUGGAUUUUCUCAUUGUUAUCUGGUUAGUUAUCCCUCACAAAAUCAAGUGAUAAUAUAUGCAGUAUGUAUAAGACUAGGAGUAUUGGAUGGUUGUGAUUCGGGAGUGUGUAUUUUGAUCGAAGUUUGUAGUACGUAUAGGGUGAUAGAUACGUUGGGUAGGAACUUCUGCUCUAAUUUACUAUGGUUGUAGUUAAAUUUAUUUUUGGUUGAAUCGUGUCCUUCACAUAGAUCUUAAUUUACUGGAUAAAUUAUACAAUAAAGUGGUUUGUGAUUUUUUGGUUUUACACUAUCCAUCAUAAUAAAUGAACUUAUUAUUCGCACUUCAGAUAUCAUGUAAAUUUUUAUGAUCUCUGAACUUCUCAUGUACUAUUAGUCCAAAUCAAUUUGAAAAUCCAAUGAACUUCUAUAGGUUCUAUUAUUUUUUCAAACAUGAGCAUUGCUGGUUAAUAAAUUGAUUUACAUUAAUUUCUCAAAAGGGGGCCGCACACAUGUCCUGGUGCUUAAUGCUUUUAGAAAGGGUUUAUGUAAUUUUGGUAGUAUAAAAGUAACCCAAGUUCUUUAGUAUUAUCCAGAGCUGGGAUAUGUAAAUGUAUAAACACAGGGUAGAAGGUCAGUCAACUUGUGUCCCAACCAUCUAAUACUCAUAGCUAACUUCAUUGCCUCCAUUGUUAGGGUAAAAUCUGGAGCCGCAAAUGGAGCAAUUACUAACCAUCAGUUCAUAGAAACACAAUCUGACCUGAAGUUACAACAUAGUCAACGAUGAUAUACUGACAUGCCAUGACUACCUGAUAAGAAGAAAGCAGAAUAUCUAAAGAAGGAAUACAUAUCCCACUAGCAAGAGAAAUUUGUGGCGGCCAGUGAAAAUAUCGAUGGACCUAGCUCAAAACCCCACAACUUUAUU